AGCAGCCGCGGUAAUUCCAGCUCCAAUAGCGCAUAUUAAAGUUGUUGCAGUUAAAAAGCUCGUAGUUGAAUUUCGGGGUUAGUUGGCUGGUCGUGCCACCGGUACGUACUGGUCUUACUGAUUCCUCCUUCCUGAUGAAUUGUAAUGCCAUUAAUUUGGUGUUGCAGGGAAUCUGGACUGUUACUUUGAAAAAAUUAGAGUGUUUAAAGCAGGCUAACGCUUGAAUACAUUAGCAUGGAAUAAUGAAAUAGGACGUUCGAUCCUAUUUUGUUGGUUUCUAGGAUUGACGUAAUGAUUAAUAGGGAUAGUUGGGGGCAUUAGUAUUCAAUUGUCAGAGGUGAAAUUCUUGGAUUUAUUGAAGACUAACUACUGCGAAAGCAUUUGCCAAGGAUGUUUUCAUUAAUCAAGAACGAAAGUUAGGGGAUCGAAGACGAUCAGAUACCGUCGUAGUCUUAACCAUAAACUAUGCCGACUAGGGAUCGGAUGAUGUUAAUUUUUUAAUGACUCA
rnacentral:rRNA from 1 species